CAAAUACCUUGUGGGAAUUUGCUGGGGCUGGGAGGUGGGAACCUGAGAAACAAAAGGAUGAUUUACAGUCGUUCAAAGGCAUCAUUCUAACCAGAAAAUUUAAUUUACAGACUUUCGGUUCUUUCAUUUCCAUUUUUGAAAGAGAAAAAAGAAAAUCAAUUGAGGCACACUGAGUCCCUCUUGCUUAGAGAUCAUCAAAAUGACCCAAUGGAUCCUGCAGAAAAAGGAAUGUCUGGUCUCAGAAGUCCCUUUGGUUCCUGCAGGAUCCAGAAUGCAGAAGGGAAGAAACAGGCUGAAACGUAGUAGCUGCUCACAGGGCACAGCGUGCUGCCUGCUCAACACCCCUAUUAAAACCCAGGAUCCAUGGAAGGUUGUUGCUGUCUCCGUAACAACAAGGACCAGAGAGACAAGAAACAAAAGCUAUGAUUUCUCCCUCUGAGGAAGUUUCCCCCUUUUUAAUUGUACAUGUGCAAGUGAAAUUUCAAAUGUGCUUAUUUGUUCUUUUCUAAGGAAUACAUGUUGGUUUCCCCCACAUCAGUGAAGUCCAGAUGAGUUGUUCUCAGCCUGGGGUGAAUAUUCUGC
rnacentral:lncRNA from 1 species